CAACAAUCGGCAUUUUUAUUCUUCCGAUCAUCGGACUCUUUGGUCUUGUUUUUGGCAAUUUAGUCACAGAGCUUGACAAGUUAACGAUUAGAUUGCACCGACUAACCUUUAAGGGUAAAUUUUCAGUGAAUACAAUGAGCAAGGUUAUGGAGAUCAUGAAUCGAGUUGCUGGACCAUACAAUGGAGUCAAAAUAGGAGACUUUCUUACUCUCGAGAAAACCUUC